GAUGAACGCUGGCGGCGUGCCUAAUACAUGCCAGUCGAGCGAACAGACGAGGAGCUUGCUCCUCUGACGUUAGCGGCGGACGGGUGAGUAACACGUGGAUAACCUACCUAUAAGACUGGGAUAACUUCGGGAAACCGGAGCUAAUACCGGAUAAUAUAUUGAACCGCAUGGUUCAAUAGUGAAAGACGGUUUUGCUGUCACUUAUAGAUGGAUCCGCGCCGCAUUAGCUAGUUGGUAAGGUAACGGCUUACCAAGGCAACGAUGCGUAGCCGACCUGAGAGGGUGAUCGGCCACUCCGGAACUGAGACACGGUCCAGACUCCUACGGGAGGCAGCAGUAGGGAAUCUUCCGCAAUGGGCGAAAGCUUGACGGAGCAACGCCGCGUGAGUGAUGAAGGUCUUCGGAUCGUAAAACUCUGUUAUUAGGGAAGAACAAAUGUGUAAGUAACUAUGCACGUCUUGACGGUACCUAAUCAGAAAGCCACGGCUAACUACGUG
rnacentral:rRNA from 1 species